rnacentral:piRNA from 1 species
UCCUUUCAUUAAAAAGAUAGGUUGGCACUCC